GGCCAGACUCCUACGGGAGGCAGCAGUGGGGAAUAUUGCACAAUGGGGGAAACCCUGAUGCAGCGACGCCGCGUGAAGGAAGAAGUAUUUCGGUAUGUAAACUUCUAUCAGCAGGGAAGAAAAUGACGGUACCUGACUAAGAAGCCCCGGCUAACUACGUGCCAGCAGCCGCGGUAAUACGUAGGGGGCAAGCGUUAUCCGGAUUUACUGGGUGUAAAGGGAGCGUAGGCGGUUUAGCAAGUCUGGAGUGAAAGCCCGGGGCCCAACCCCGGAACUGCUCUGGAAACUGUGCGGCUAGAGUACUGGAGGGGCAGGCGGAAUUCCUAGUGUAGCGGUGAAAUGCGUAGAUAUCAGGAGGAACACCGGUGGCGAAGGCGGCCUGCUGGACUGCGACUGACGUUGAGGCCCGAAAGCGUGGGGAGCAAACAGGAUUAGAUACCCGGGUA
rnacentral:rRNA from 1 species